rnacentral:rRNA from 1 species
GAUGAACGCUAGCGGCAGGCUUAAUACAUGCAAGUCAAGGGGCCAGUAAUGGCACCGGCGGACGGGUGCGUAACGCGUACACAACGUACCUUUGGGUGGGGGAUAGCAUCGGGAAACUGGUGGUAAUACCCCAUGGUAUUGGAGACUGGCAUCAGUUUUCAAUUAAAGACUACGCCCAAAGAUCGGUGUGCGUCUGAUUAGCUAGUUGGUAGGGUAACGGCCUACCAAGGCGACGAUCAGUAGGGGAUGUGAGAGCAUGAUCCCCCACACGGGUACUGAGACACGGACCCGACUCCUACGGGAGGCAGCAGUAAGGAAUAUUGGACAAUGGUCGGAAGACUGAUCCAGCCAUGCCGCGUGAAGGAUGAAGGCGCUCAGCGUUGUAAACUUCUUUUGUACGGGAACAAAAUGCGACCUGCGGGUUGUACUGAGGGUACCGUAGGAAUAAGCACCGGCUAAACUCCGUG